rnacentral:rRNA from 1 species
UACGUAGGGGGCAAGCGUUGUCCGGAAUCAUUGGGCGUAAAGAGCGUGUAGGCGGCCCGGUAAGUCCGCUGUGAAAGUCAAAGGCUCAACCUUUGAAUGCCGCUGGAAACUGUCUGGCUAGAGUCCGGGAGGGGCGAGUGGAAUUCCUGGUGUAGCGGUGAAAUGCGCAGAUAUCAGGAGGAACACCAAUGGCGAAGGCAGCUCGCUGGAACGGUACUGACGCUGAGGCGCGAAAGCGUGGGGAGCAAACAGG